UAUUUAUAUAAUCUUGUUGGGCUAUUCUGUAUCUUUCUUUUGGGAAAUUGGUAGCUAUUGCUAGUAAAGGUGGUUCAAUUUAAAUCUGUCUUAUAAAAGAGUAAACAUCAUAUACCAAGGACAGUAGUCCAAGAACAAUUUAAAUGAAACCCAUGACAGAAAUAUAAAGAAAAGUUUUUAAGUAAUCAUUCUUUUAUUUUACUUGCAGUAGAAUUUGAAAUUCACGUGUUACUGAAAGUCAUAUAUAAGAUUACCUCAAAGCGUUUAAAUUUUCAUUACAUUAAGUAGCAUCAAGCUCUCCUUCAACUCAUCCAUCCUCACUUCCUUCCUUCUACAACCCUUUCUAAGGUACUGAGAUGAAGAGUGAGUCUUUUCCUCAUGAAUUCUCUACCCUCUUCUCCUGUCCAGCAUGAGCUGUGAUGGGACCAGAAAGUAUUUGCAUUUAGCACCAAAAGGAAGAGACUAAUUUACUAGAUAACUCCAAAAAAGUAAAGCUGUGGCUUGGAUAAAUAAACAACUACAAUAUAUGAAUAUAACUGCUUUAAUGGAGACAUGUGCAAAGGUAUUGAAAGCUUAGACAAGGAAACAUCUAAACCUAACGGGGUCGUUCCUACGUUCAAAGAGAGCAAGUUGUGCAAGGGUGUGGAUCACUGGGGGUCCUCUUAGAAUCCUGCCUACCGUCCUGUUCCAUAAACUCCUAACCUUGGAUCAGUCUGUGCAGCUACCCACAUCCACUGCUCUUCUGCUGAGCACUGGUGAAUAAGAUCAUACAGAGUGAAGUAAGUCAGAAAGAGAAAGACAAAUCCCGUAUGCUAACACAUAUAUAUGGAAUCUAAAAAAAAAAAAAUGUCAUGAAGAACCUAGGGGUAAGACAGGAAUAAAGACACAGACCUACUAGAGAAUGGACUUGAGGACAUGGGGAAGGGGAAGGGGAAGGUGGGACGAAGUGAGAGUGGCACGGACAUAUAUACACUACCAAGUGUAAAAUAGCUAGCUAGUGGGAAGCAGCCACAUAGCACAGGGAGAUCAGCUCCAUGCUUUGUGACCACCUAGAGGGGUGGGAUAGGGAGGGUGGGAGGGAGACGCAAGAGGGAGGAGAUAUGGGGACAUAAGUAUACGUAUAGCUGAUUCACUUUGUUAUACAGCAGAAACUAACACAACAUUGUAAAGCAAUCAUACUCCAACAAAGAUGUUAAAAAAUUAAAAAUAAAAUUUAAAAAAAGAUUAUAUGAUUUGUUGCUACACAGAUAUAUAAUCUUGAACUUCAGUAGAUCUUUCAGCAAUGCUUUAGCAUGACCUUCCGUAACAGUUUAUGUGUCCCCCAAAGCUAUUCUAUGUCUUGUCACCAAGCCCCUGUUAUAAGCUGCCCAUCUCCCCACUACCCCCAAGAACUUGACCUUUUCUUCAACUUUCCAAAGUAAGGCUGUUAGUCACAAAUUUGGAUGAACUUAUCCAAAUAUACCUUCUUUCACUUUCCUUUGUCUUAGUAUUAGAGGAAAUGAUUUUUCUUCUGUCCAAGGCUGAUUCCAGCACCUGUGUCUGUGAUUGGAAAGAACUUUUUUUUCUUCCAAAAACUUCUUUCAUUAUAUACUACAUUUUUAAACCUCUUCUUUUCCAUUUUUUUCUGUUCUCUCUCCCUCUCAUACUUUGAAAGCCUAACUCGUAGAAAGAGUGGAUUAUACUAUACCCACUUAACUUCCCCACAUCCCACUUCUUCAGUACCCACCUAUGACACUAUAAUCCAGAUUCUUCCCACACCGCUUCCUGGACACUUCUCUGGAAAAGGUCACCAGUACCUAGAAAUAAUAGCAAAGGAAGAAAAACAAAUUAACUGUCAACUUUAGGAGAAACAAAAAGAAAAAUUCAGCAGCACAAAGUAUUCAUGUAGUCAUAAUAUCUGUAUUCACAACUGAUUAAUUAAAAAUGGUGUUAUAACUGGAAAUAGGGGUUUGAGAGUUCUAAAAGAGCUAAAUUUACAAUAAUAGAAAGUCAGUUAUUAAUGUCUAAAAUAAUCACAAAAUAUCAGUAUAACCAUAUUCUGUAGAAAUACAUCAUUAAAUACCAAACGAAAAGGCAGAAAGAGUUGGCAGUGGUUUCUCUGAACAGAGCUUAGGGGUCAGGAUAGAUGAAACAAACACUUUUUGUUUAUUUGUUUUGUUUUAACUGUGUAUAUGCAUUUGAUUUUCUAAAAAAUAGUUUUCUGUAAAGAAAAAGUGUACAAUCCAUAGCAGAGGAGAAAUUUAUCAGUCAAGUUGUCAGGGAACUGCAGUAAAUAGUUAGUUGCUAGUUGGUGAUUAAUCCACAUGUCAUUUACAAAUAGCAGUAAGUGUCCAUUCCCCCAGCAAAAAUGGAAUCUGACCUGCCAAAGAGCAUUACUGUCUAUGAGCUUGAGAAAUGUUCCGGGAAGAGCAUAGACAAAAUAAGAGCAUAUUAAUAUAGAGGCUGUUUAUUCCCAGGUUUAGUAAGGAGAAUACGUAGAAGUGUUGGAGGGAACCAGGAAAUGUGCUCUUUCCACGUGAGCCCUUUGUCCUUUGUGGUAUGGUGCGCUGAGCACCUUGGGCAAAUAACCUAGCAUCUGAGCCUCAAUCAUUCCUGCAGCUGGAACAUGAGAAUAACCUUGUAAGGUUUUUGUGAGGAUGGGAAAUAAUACAUACAUGUCAUGUGUCUGAAGAGUGCUUGGCACAUACCUGUACUCAAUAUGAUGAAAAAAUAGAUAGCAUUAAUAAUAAUAUUAGUAUCAUUCCCUAUGAUUGUGGGCUUUUACUGGUUUAUUUCCCACAGUGUCUCUCUCGAUUUCCUUGAUGUUUACAGUUAGUUUUUAAGCAGAAUACCGGCCAGAUGACCGGGCACACAGCUAAUGAUAACUCCUAUUGAAAAGGUAUCACCAGAUAGACUAUUAGAAGCCCAAGUUGUAGCUGGAACAGUAUGGGGUGGGCCAGGCAGGGUGAGGCACAGUGCAAGAAUGGAACGUUUCAACUGUGCCAUGACUUAUAUAUCUCCAGUGUUGUUGUUGAAUUUGUUCUCAGCCAGAAUCCAGAAUCCCAUGGAAGGAAUGGGAUCAAGGGACCUUCAGCUGAUGCUUUAGAAUUCACAUCAAGGGCCUUGUGUGACUGUUGCUCGAGACACAGCCAGAGGAUAUAAUAUUCUUGUAUUUUUAAUGUUUUUUAAAACUCCAGCAAUCAAAAGGUCAUCAUUUGUUGUAAUGAUGCUGUAAUUAAGUUGUGGUAAGUGAUAGCAUUUGUAGAUUUUAUAACCAGAAUCGAUUCAUAAAAUGAAUACAGUCCCAGCAGUUUAUGUUAACAUAAUUAAAUGGAAAUGUAAUUCUAACUGAGUUUGCUUAUGAAACUGAAAAUUACUGGGUUAUGAGCACUUUUACAUUUCUGUCAAAAUUGGUGUAAGUCUAGGAUUACAUGAAAUAUCCAUUAAAAUACAGCAUAUUUUAAGGCUCUGUUGCUGGUGGCAUAUACGUUUCUUACAGCACAUGCAGACUGAUCACGUGAGAGCAUGUGCUUUUAGUGAGUUUCCUGCUAACUCCUUUUCUCUUUCCU